GCCAAGUAUGUGCAAGCGGCCGUGGGAAUAGUAGGUGGGCGAGUGGUGUUCAGAAUCACUUGUCGUAAUGCUGGUGGAGGUGUAUUGGUAAUUAAGGAUUGAGAUCCCAUGGCUUAACCCUGGAACUGCUCUUUAGACUGCCUGUCUGGAAUUCGGAAGAGGUUGGUGGAACUCCCAGUGUAGAGGUGAAAUUCGCAGAUAUUGGGAAGAACACCGGUGGCGAAGGCGACCAACUGGUCCGACAUUGACACUGAGGCACGAAAGCGUGGGUAGCAAACAGGAUUAGAUACCCCGGUAGUC
rnacentral:rRNA from 1 species